CUUCUCAUCGCGCAACUCUUUCUGCAGCUCGUCUUUCUCUUGCUCCAGCACUGCAAUCUAUAAACGACAAGAGUCAACUUGCCACAGACACCCUACGUGGUGACCUUGCAGCUGCUCGAGCGAUGGGCCGUUGCUUGCCUGCAGAGCUUUUCUCAUGCCAAAAACCACACUGCUCUCGUAGAAGGUCUGGUAAGCGGCUAUGGUCAUCUGGAUCUCAUCUCGGACCCGCAACAGCAAGUGACCCCGCUCGGCGCAGUUGAUGGUCACCUGCCUGAUCAGCUCAUCUACACAAAGAGAGCAGCUUUAAUCAUGACGUAGCCCUCCUUCCAGAUUUAACCUUCUGAACACAGAAAAUUUAGAGUGUACGCCUUCAGAGUAGUGCCACGUUGCAUUAGCAACAUGCCCACAUAAGUGUAAUUCUGAUAACAGAUGUUCUGCUGCUUGGAGUUGCCAGUUUCCUGAUUUAGUUUAGUUUCACUUUUUGAGAUGGGGAGGCUGGCCGUCAUGACUGAAGAUGUAUGGCUGGCUAUUAUUACUCAAACUCACUCGAUGAGCAAGUUCAACUGCAAGCUGGGUGCGAUUCCUGAGCUCCUUCACAAAAUGGGUGCCAACUUGAAGAAGCUGUCAGCUCGCCUCUGCGAAUAAUUGACCACAAAUUUGGCUAUUUGAUGCCACGAGCGGCAUCAAAGACUUGAGGCAGACACAAAAUUAAAGUCUGCUUGUCCUUAAACAAUUGUUACCUUCAUUGGCAUUGGCCUUGGGAAGGGUUCUUAUCUUCCGGAUUGCAGAGCCUCCUUACCGAAGCACUGGGUAUAGAGCUCUCUUCGAACAGGGCAUAUUCCCGUCUCUAUGGCCCUUCGUUGCUGCAGUUUCCUGUCCAGGAGCUCCUCGAGGUUCACCACGUCCGCUCUGGUGCACGGCGCGCUGGACACUUGCUGCACCCACAGCUGGUUUCCCUCCAGCCAUUCCCUGGCAUGAUAAAACAAUGAAAGAUUAAGGAAGGCUGAAUUAGUCAAGUGACACGACAUGGAAAGCAGGGAAGGGGGCGGGUAUACCUGGGUGGAAAGAUGAGGUUAAGUAUGUCAUCAUUUUGUUGCCUUGGGGCUUCAGCUGCAGAGGAUUUAACUUUAGGGGGUGGAGGCACCGGGGAGUCGGCAUGCGCUUGGUUGCUGACUUUAAAAGGACGGCCCCCCUGUAAAAAAUAUCACAUUACAAUACCUGGAAAUUUUGUGUUUCUUUGAGUGCUGUCUUGACAUUUUUUAAUUGUCAUGUUUACACGAACAGUUUUAUGUAUAGCACUUUCUAAAAAUCAUUCGAUGUGACAGGUGCUCAGUGAGUCACAAAAUGAGGUACAAAGACUCCCUGAAGUGAUAAACAAAUUGCGCAACUAAAUACAAAUGAAAUUGGCAACCUUUAAAACAUGAAAUAUAUUCAGUUGAAUAUAUUUUUUUUAAUCCUGUACAAUGAAGCUAUCAUGCAUGAUUUUGGAACGUGGGAAGAAAGCGGAGUACUCAGAGAAAACCUAAUCACAGAUUCAAACCCAGAAUCUGUCGGCUGUGAGGCAGAUGUGCUCCACUUGGAUGCUGCGCUGUCAAUAAAUAAAUAUAUUAAUUAUA